AUCCAGCUGACGAAUCCCAAAUAGGACGAAACACAUAACCUGGAU
rnacentral:hammerhead_ribozyme from 1 species